GCCUGAGUAGCUCCAAUAGGUAGAGCAGCAGACUGUUAAUCUGUUGGUUACCGGUUCGAAUCCGGUCUCAGGCU
rnacentral:tRNA from 1 species